GUUGCUGUGGCUGAGUUGUUAAGGCGAUGGACUAGAAAUCCAUUGGGGUAUCCCUGCACAGGUUCAAAUCCUGUCAGCAACG